rnacentral:misc_RNA from 1 species
GGCCUUAUCACCUCGCCUGAUAUUCCUGGAGGCCGCAUCCCAGCUUCUUCUUCCUCACACGCAUGCCGACGCUUUCCUCUCCAGCCGAUGUCCAUCUCCCUUCCAGCACAAACAUGGCCGCCUCUCCGAGCCCCAUCGCCCAUGGCAGCCGUGCCCUGCUCCCAGCUCCCUCACCUCCCCCAUGGCCGAGCGCCCUCUCCAGCCACCGGUGCUCGCCAAGCCCAUCUCCCAUGGCGCCCAGCCCAGUUUCCAGCGCCCUCCUCCAUCACCGCGCACCUCUGGUCGCUUCAGCUCAUCUCCCUCGCCGUGGAGCUCUCUGCGUGCGCCCCUGGUUCCUGCACCCUGGCCUCCCUCAUCUUCCCUGGGUCCGGCCAUAGCUGGCCGCCGCUGCUCCAUCUCGAGUCGCGCUCGCCCAGCUCUGUUGGCUGCGCCCUCCCUGCCGCAGCUCGCGCCUGUCGUCCUGCUUACUCGAGCUCGCCCCGGCCUCCUGCUCCCUCCAGCCCUUCCCAUGGUGUUACUACUGCUGUAACAAGUCCGACAGAAGAACCAUCCAAUGCAGGCCCACGAAGGGGAUCCAGGCUGCGCCGGCCUAGUACUCGGCUUAGGGAGUUUGUGUGAGUUGUAAUUGAGAUAUAAGGGAAUAUUGAUUAGGGAAAAGGUAUCAGACUUGUAAUAAGAAUUCUGGACAGACUGUCGCUCUGCCUAUCUACUCUACCAUCUGCUCUUCUUCCUGUCCAAGUCUUCUUCCUC